GCCAAGUAUAAUAAUUAAAUGGGUAAAUUACUAUGACAUCCUUGUAUUAUGUUAAAAUUCAUUAAUUAGUUCCUAAAAUUUUAAAAUGCAAUUAAAUUGUCCUUUGUUUUUCAAAACUCAACUAUUUAGUCAUUUCGUGUAUUUUAACAGUUGGUGUGAUGUCAAAAGACAAAAAUGCUCCUAAAUUAUAUUCUCCAUCUCUCUUUCCUUUUCUCUCUACAUUUUCUUGCCUGAUGCCAUUUCCCUCUGUCACCAUUACACCACUACCUCGUCGCCUAUUUCCUCAAAGCAUCCACAAUCCAUUCCUCUUCG
rnacentral:misc_RNA from 1 species